AGUGGUUGGAUUCAAUAAAAGAGCUGAGCGUCCAAAAAAUAUGGUGGACACAAGAAAGACAUGUUGCUGGAUUCUUAAGCUACCGCAAGAAUUGCUCCAGAACAUUCUUUUGGAGGUAGUUCUGGACGCCGGAGACAUGGCAUAUUUGACGCUUUCUCUGGUUUGUUGGAAAGUAAAAAAUACCGUAAGCCAGGACACUUUCCGGAAAAAGGCACACUUUUUGUGGAUAUUGAGUGUGGACACAAAUUGGUUUGACCAUUCCGAGUCCUAUCGCGAGGAGAUGUCCACCAUGUUUUGCAUUUCGUCUUGUCAGUUUUGCAGAACGCAAUUCAAAGAUUGUUCAGGAUACGUAGGAGAUGGGAAAAGAGGUGUCAUUCAGGCUAUGUACUCCGAGCAUCCUCACCCUGGGUUCUGCAGCCAUCUUUGCUCAACGAACGCUGGGAAUUUUGAGUAGGAGGUACCUGGUGUUAAGCAGUGGUGUAGUGGACGUUGGACGCGGGGGUGUGCCGUAGCCCCACU